UGUAAAAAAAUAAUUUUUUUUUUCUUUAAACCUAUGAACAAUAGUCUUUAUUUUCUAACACUGUCAGAUAAAAUUGGUAAAAUCUGAGCAUAUUAUGCUCUAUUCUGUAGUAGUAAGUAACCAAACAUAAAUGCUUGUCCCCUAUUCUUUAAAAACUAAAUUGAGUGCAGCCUGUUCCAAGAUGUCACUGAAGUUACCGAGAUUCCUACUGAUUUCCACAGGGAUAGGACAAACCCAUUUCUCAGUUCAUGCAUAUGCUCCAGAAGGAUCUCAAGUUAUCCUACAGGACCAACAAUCAGCAGCUCACUGUCAUACUCCUACACCAAGUUCAACUGUAGAGCUAACAAACAAAAUUUUGUCUCAUUAUGACUUGCCACAUUCCUAUCACUAGUGAGUGUGCGUGCUGUACAAUGACUAUUGUCUGACUCCUCUCUUUGGAAAGGAGAUGUUCUUUUGAAUUUCACACCUACAGGUUUAAGCCUUACACAUAGAAAAGAGAUUGACCUGUAGCACUGUGGAAAGCAGUCUUCUGCAUCCUAGCAGUAGCAAAAGGAAACCGUGUGGGCUGAAAGAGAGAAGGCAGCUGCACAAUUCUCUGAACCAGAUACACAAUGUAAUACCUCUAUAGUGUAGUCAGGACAUAACCCCUCAGGUGUGAAGGGAAUAUCAAGUCAGCUUUAAAAGAUACAGAUUUUUAGUGCAUUUGAUUAAUAAUUUGACAUGACUUAUGCCAAAACCAGGCAAAAACCAACACCUUUUUUAUUCAUUAAGAGAGAUAUAGAACAUAACCCAAACUGCCAAAGUUAAUCACAGGGAGAUCUCAAAAAAUAGGCUGCUAGAUGAAGAGAGAAAAUUGAGAUCAUCUUGUUUAGGUACCUCAUGUAAUAGAAAAAUGAAUAUUUAUAGUGAACUUAGGAAGCCUAAUUUCAGCCACAGUUUAAAUGAGAAAACUAUUUCCUGCAAAAUUCAUUCUGGAAAAAAAAAAAUUCUUGAGCAAAAAAAGAUUUUCUCUAAUAAACCUCAAACUCAGCAGUACAUUCUGUCCCUUUGGACUGAAAAUAUUUCAAUUACUGUAUCAUUACAUAUUAUUAUAUUUUCAUCUUUCCAGCUGUAAAGUUUUCUACUGUAAAAGUUUCCUUGACUUUUGUACAUGUUCUCUAGAAUUUGUUUAUCAUUUCACUCAGACACUGGCACUGUCUCAGAAAUAAAGAGAAAGAAACAAAACAAACUAAAAAAAUAAAACAAAAUAGAAGUAGAAAUAUAAAGAUGCAAAGCCAGCAAACACACAAAAUUGUAGCUUUCUAACUUUAAAGACAUGAAGAAGAAAAGGCUGAAAGAAUUAUAAUAAGGAUGAAAGUUAAAAAGAGCAAAGAUGUGGGAGUGGAAUCUCGAAAUGAGACAAAGAAGGAAAAAGAAAGGCCAAACAAGAAAAGUAAAUUAUCAUAAUGAAAACUAAAAGCCUCCCUUGAUCUGUCUUAAAAAUAGAUACUAAUGUUUUGCAGAUUAACUCUGGUUUUGUAAUUACGGUCUUAUGGAGAAAUGGAUGUUGGUGAACCAAACUGCUCACUUAGGGAGCGUAGCUAAAUCCAUGGCAUAGCAGAAACAGCUGCUGCCCAUUAUGCUUUGCUUUUUGAUGAUGAGUGGUAACGAAGGUUGGGAAAAGGUGACCAUUCAGCACUUUUGAUUAUGAGGUAAUGGCUCCAAUGAUGUUAGCAAAACAAUUAAAAACACCAUCAGUCCUAUUCUCUGUGAAGCCACUUAAUGUUGUUUCCAACUCUCUCUGCUGUCCUAAAAUGUAUUCACAUAUGGAGUAAUAUUGAAGGUUAGGGUAAAAUUGGAGCAAAUCAGAAUUAAAGGAGAUUUUGUGCAUUACAUACAAAGCCUUAAUCCAAACUGGGUAAUUCAGUGUUCCUAUGCUAUGUAUUUAAAUCAAAACUAUUACUCUUGUUCUCAUAAAAGGAACAGUAAACCUUGCUCUCUGUAAUGUCUUUGACUGGAAAGCUUUUUCUGUAUGCUAUUCAGAAAAGAUAUAUGAAUUUUCACA